CACGGAUUCUGUUUAAUAAUGAUGGCCACCUUCAAGAUGUACAAUAAGAUUUAAAUGGAGCAAGUAGACAAAAUAUAGACAGGUUUUGGGUUGUGAGUUGUGACAUGAUCUGAUUAAAUACAGUUUCUCUAUAUAGCCUGUCCCCCACAACUUUGAAAAAGUUGCAUCAAGCAAACACCUUCAGCCACCAAACUUAGCUCCACAGAAUUGACAUCUUUAAUUGAUGCAAUAUUUGAAUGCACAGUCGUGUCUGCCAGGACGUUCUUUCACAAGCUAGAUUCUACUCUACUUAUGAUCUUCAGAGAUGUCAAUGUGAAUCAGAUGCAACAUUUCCAUGUGGCAACACUUCCAAGCAUGAUGAGUCCAUCCAAGGUUUAAAAACUCCUUC
rnacentral:misc_RNA from 1 species